GGAAUCUGAUAUGUGAAGAGUUAAGGCAUUGCCAGUGGUCUGGAGGCUGAGUCGUGAUGGAGCUGAGAUUCAAACCCAGGCAUUUUGCUUCAUUGCUCACGUGUUGUCAUCUUGACUACAAAUGAGGAAUCUUGCAGAAGGGGAGAUCAUGAACAAAGUUGGUAGUUUUUGAGAAGCUGCUCUUGAAGACAUGUCUAUCCUGUCUUGCUGUGAUCCCCCUCCCCCAACUUCUUGAGUUGCUUCUCUCUGGGGAGAUAUUAAAGGAGCAGAAUUCCAGCUUGGGAGAGAAGUGUAGCCCUCAGCAGCAGCCUGCUCUGUCCUGGACCAGCUAAGUGGAUUCCUCUUUGGGACAGAGAGAAGUCCGGUUUCUAUGACAAUCCAUGGCCGUUCUGCCAAGACUGCCAGCCAGGGUGCCUGGCAGUGCUAAUUGCUAUGCAGACAUCCGUUCAUUAGACUUUGACCUAGAAUUACUAUCAUCUUUCACAAGAAUUCUGGAGAGAACUACAGAUGCUGAGUGCUUUACUUCAGUUAGCCUAAGAUAAAAUACCCAGGAGGAGGUCUACUGUGAGUAAAAUAAGCUGUGUAAGAACAUGAAGUUCAGUUCCUGGCUCACAAUCUGAAGCCCAGUAUAUGUUUAAAAUAACAUUAUCCUGGACCCGUUAGGAAGGACUUCUGCUCUCAUAAAUGGCCAAUGACCAUUUAUAACCCAGAAGAUUAAUUUAGACAACCAAGGCCAAGAAUGAAAAAGAAUGAAAGAAGUGAAAGAAUUUGAUUAAGAGUAGUCUGACACGUCCUCUCUUUCUCAUGCUCUGCUAAGUGAUUUGACCCCUUCUCGGAAUGACCUGCAACCAGACUUAAUUUGAAGAGCUCAGAGAUAACAAAUUGCCAAUAACCAGGGCAUUUCAUGGCUGGUCUCACUAGACUGGUGACUAAGCUAAUUUUCAACAGCUGGAAGGACUUACCUCUCACACAUAAAUCAUGUAUAGUUCAGACAUUAUGGAGAAAAUCAUUCUGAAAAACAGACUAUACACCUUCUGUAAGUGAAGUGUGAUUUAGGAUUAUUGAGGAAGAAUUCUGAGACUUUUAUUGAACAUAUUUUUGUUUUAGGUCACAUUUUUAUUUGCUCAUAGUAAUCGCUUAUUGAUAACUAAAUAGAUAGCAUUUAACACGAUGGUUGUACUAGAUACUUUAUCUUCUUCAGCACUUUUGGAAUGAAUUUGUUUUAAAAAUCAAAUGGAUCACACCA